rnacentral:tmRNA from 1 species
CCUCUUACAAAUCGCCCCAAUCUGGGGCUAAUGUCUCGCCGUAAGGUGAGUGGUGGAGGCUAAGGCAAAUUGCCGUGCCCCUUAUGGGUGUAACCCGGUACUUGUGGAAUGCGGUCGGACGCGGGGGCAGUACCCGCCAUCUCCACCAAUGGGGAUGAAUUAGGAUCGACGCCCGUUGGAAGCGAGUGACGCACCUCGGUAUGAUACCGCCGUUAUCGGAUCGAAAUUUGAGCGGACAACGAUAACGUUCCGUAUGUUGAGGCUCUCGCGGCCUAACGGAGUUCGGCGGGCACUUGGCAACAGAAGCCCGCCACC